rnacentral:rRNA from 1 species
AUACGGGAGGCAGCAAGCGGGAAUAUUGCACAACGGGCGAAAGCCAGGUGCAGCAAUGCCGUGUGAGGGAUGACGGCCUUCGGGUUGUAAACCUCUGUCGGCGGGGAAGAAGACAGUGACGGUACCCGCCGAGGAAGCUCCGGCUAACUCCGUGCCAGCAGCCGCGGUAAGACGGAGGGAGCAAGCGUUGUCCGGAUUUACUGGGCGUAAAGCGCGCGUAGGCGGCCCAUUAAGUCGGUUGUGAAAUCGCUGGGCUCAACUCAGCAACUGCAGUCGAUACUGAUGGGCUCGAGUCCGGGAGAGGGAAGCGGAAUUCCUGGUGUAGCGGUGGAAUGCGUAGAUAUCAGGAAGAACACCGGUGGCGAAGGCGGCUUCCUGGACCGGUACUGACGCUGAGGCGCGAAAGCUAGGGGAGCGAACGGGAUUAGAUACCCCGGU